rnacentral:rRNA from 1 species
UACGUAGGGUGCGAGCGUUGUCCGGAUUUAUUGGGUUUAAAGGGUGCGUAGGCGGCCUAUUAAGUCAGUGCUGAAAUAUCCCGGCUUAACCGGGAGGGUGGCAUUGAUACUGAUGGGCUUGAGUAGAGUCGAGGUAGGCGGAAUUGACGGUGUAGCGGUGAAAUGCUUAGAUAUCGUCAAGAACACCGAUAGUGUAGACAGCUUACUAGGCUCAAACUGACGCUGAGGCACGAAAGUGUGGGGAUCAAACAGG